GCAAGAGGUUUCCCUUUGCUCUACAGCGACUCUGGGUCAAUGAGACAAACACUCAAAAUAUCUGUCGGAUACAGCAGCAAGGAACCAAAUGGAAACACACAUAAUGCCUACACAGACCCUACACAAUUUGAAAUAAGUGGCCACUCGACCACUCAAAACUACUUGUGAGGCUUGUAUUCCCACUGGGCGGUGUUGGUCUAGAGAAACUCAGCUGCCACCUCCAGACAUCAGCGCUCCGAGUUUUGGUGGGGAGUUUAAUCAUUGUCGCCGCACAGAUUCUAGUCUAUCCUGGGAAAGAUUUCAUAUGUAUGUGACAAGAAUGUGAUUCAGCAGUUGUAGGACUGAGGACUUUAUAACGCAGUCAGGGAUCUGCAGAGAGAGAGGGAGAGAGAAAAUCCCAGUCAGUCUCCACGUUGUCAGUGCUGAGCCCCACAUGGGGCUCAACCUCACAAACCCUGAGAUCUUGACCUGAGCCAAAAAUCAAGAGUCAGACGCUUAACCAACCGAGCCACCCCAUAAAUAAACAGGUCAGAUUUUAGGGUCAAUCUCUUAUUGUUGUGGAAUCUGAAUCAGAGAGCAUGAGCAACUUGUCCAAGGAAUCAUCGUCAGUUGGGUCAAAGAGAAAAUCACACCACACAAUGUUAAACAAGCAAGUAGACUUUAUUUAAGGCUAUUGCAAAAGGAGAAAGAGUCAGGAACUGAAAGUGGACUCAAUUCUGCUGAACAAAGGUGAUAAAGUUUUUUAACUG